rnacentral:rRNA from 1 species
CCUACGGGAGGCAGCAGUGAGGAAUAUUGGUCAAUGGACGAGAGUCUGAACCAGCCAAGUAGCGUGAAGGAUGACUGCCCUAUGGGUUGUAAACUUCUUUUAUAUGGGAAUAAAACAGGGUAUGCAUACCCCCUGUUAGUUACCAAUGAAAUAGGGACCGCUAAACCCGGGCCAACAGCCGCGGUUAUACGGAGGAUCCGAGCGUUAUCCGGAUUUAUUGGGUUUAAAGGGAGCGUAGGUGGAUUGUUAAGUCAGUUGUGAAAGUUUGCGGCUCAACCGUAAAAUUGCAGUUGAAACUGGCAGUCGUGAGUACAGUAGAGGUGGGCGGAAUUCGUGGUGUAGCGGUGAAAUGCUUAGAUAUCACGAAGAACUCCGAUUGCGAAGGCAGCUCACUGGACUGCAACUGACACUGAUGCUCGAAAGUGUGGGUAUCAAACAGGAUUAGAUACCCCAGUAGUC